rnacentral:rRNA from 1 species
UGGGGAAUUUUGGACAAUGGGCGAAAGCCUGAUCCAGCCAUACCGCGUGAGUGAAGAAGGCCUUCGGGUUGUAAAGCUCUUUCGGCAGGAAAGAAAAGGACCUGGAUAACACCCGGGUCUGAUGACGGUACCUGAAGAAGAAGCACCGUCUAACUACGUGCCAGCAGCCGCGGUAAUACGUAGGGUGCGAGCGUUAAUCGGAAUUACUGGGCGUAAAGCGUGCGCAGGCGGCUUUUUAAGCCAGAUGUGAAAUCCCCGGGCUUAACCUGGGAANUGCAUUUGGAACUGGAAGGCUAGAGUGUAGCAGAGGGGGGUAGAAUUCCACGUGUAGCAGUGGAAUGCGUAGAUAUGUGGAGGAAUACCGAUGGCGAAGGCAGCCCCCCGGGUUAACACUGACGCUCAUGCACGAAAGCGUGGGGAGCAAAACAGGAUUAGAUACCCUGGUAGUCCACGCCCUAAACGAUGUCAACUAGUUGUUGGGGGGAGGAGACUUCCUUAGUAACGCAGCUAACGCGUGAAGUUGACCGCCUGGGGGAGUACGUCGCAAGAUU